UACGUAGGGCGCAAGCGUUAUCCGGAAUUAUUGGGCGUAAAGAGCUCGUAGGCGGUUCGUCGCGUCUGCCGUGAAAGUCCGGGGCUCAACUCCGGAUCUGCGGUGGGUACGGGCAGACUAGAGUGAUGUAGGGGAGACUGGAAUUCCUGGUGUAGCGGUGAAAUGCGCAGAUAUCAGGAGGAACACCGAUGGCGAAGGCAGGUCUCUGGGCAUUAACUGACGCUGAGGAGCGAAAGCCAGGGGAGCAAACGGG
rnacentral:rRNA from 1 species